UACGGGGGGGGCAAGCGUUGUUCGGAAUUACUGGGCGUAAAGAGCUCGUAGGUGGUUUGUCGCGUUGUUCGUGAAAACUCACAGCUUAACUGUGGGCGUGCGGGCGAUACGGGCAGACUGGAGUACUGCAGGGGAGACUGGAAUUCCUGGUGUAGCGGUGGAAUGCGCAGAUAUCAGGAGGAACACCGGUGGCGAAGGCGACUCUUUGGCCUGUAACUGACGCUGAGGCGCGAAAGCGUGGGGAGCAAACAGG
rnacentral:rRNA from 1 species